CUCUAUCCCCAAAAAGACUAUUUAACUCCCCAACUAUUUAUCCGACCCCC
rnacentral:tRNA from 2 species